rnacentral:rRNA from 1 species
GGAAUUCGAUUCGGUGUGACAAGGCCCGGGAACGUAUUCACCGCGGCGUGCUGAUCCGCGAUUACUAGCGAUUCCAACUUCAUGCCGGCGAGUUGCAGCCGACAAUCCGAACUGAGACCGGCUUUCUCCGAUUAGCUCCCCCUUGCGGGCUCGCGACGGUUUGUACCGGCCAUUGUAGCACGUGUGUGGCCCCAGACAUAAAGGCCAUGCUGACUUGACGUCAUCCCCACCUUCCUCCGGUUUGUCACCGGCAGUCUCUCCAGAGUGCCCACCUUGACGUGAUGGCAACAGGAAACAAGGGUUGCGCUCGUUGCGGGACUUAACCCAACAUCUCACGACACGAGCUGACGACAGCCAUGCAGCACCUAUACAGACGCCCUUGCGGGAGUCGGCUUUCACCGAUGGUCAUCUGCAUUUCGAGCCUGGGUAAGGUUCUUCGCGUUAAUCACUA